rnacentral:lncRNA from 1 species
UUCCUUCAUGCUCGGCAACUUUAGACCGACCCAUGGCAACCUCCCUCCUGGCGUCUCGCUCGUACCUGUUUGAUUGUUGUCCUUCUUAUUCUCUUCUUCAUUCAUUCAAUAAAGUUCAAACGAAGUGUGCCUUUGCGGCACACCAUCAGCUUUGCCGCUGCAUUCCGACUUCAAAAUGUGCAAUUGGAAGGAUCUCCGAAUGCGUUCUGGCUGGGAGCUGACAAAAAUUGGUCCAUGAAGCACGGGCACUGUGGCGCGCCUUGGACUGCCAGCCAGCAGGAGGGCCGGCGUCGAACAUGGAUGCAACGGUAGUACCACCUACGUAUCGGGCAGUCCCGACAUGGAUUUGGCGCAGCAGCGGCAACACACGUUGCCGCAAUGGCACUCCUGCUUUGUGUGUAUGUCAUUCUACGGAUUGCCGUAUCACGAGAAGGCUAACUGUUCAGUCAAUAAUGAUUAUGCUAUAGCAGCUGCGCGCUUGCGACGAUCCAGACAGGUCUACACCGCCGUCGCAAGUCUGCCGACCUUUAUUGUUUGAGGAUUUCAAUAACAAGUGUGUACUCCAAACGUGGCGGCGUUCUUGUGCUUGCACUCUUAUGCCGUACGGAUUGCCAUGCGAAUCAAACGGGGGUCAAGUGGCUGCGCGCCGAGCCCCUUUUCGGCUUUGAAAAGCCGCCCCCCUAGUCUCCGUGGCCUUUAGGCGUUCAGAAAUUGGCCUUUGGGUAGUUUUGCAGGUAUGGGGUCACUCACCCCCAACCAUGUGACACACACAUAUAUGAAAGCAUAGACGCGCAUGUGUCUGUUGGUUUCAGAUGCUUGUCUUUUUUUACUGCCAUGCUUUGCUACAGCAGCCUCGUACAGAUCGUUCCUGGUCUCCGCAUCGUACGCCCUUCAAUGAAACCGCCUCUUCAUUUGGCCUGUACUCUUUUGACGUUAAGUGGGCAAGAACCUAGAUGUUGGAUGAAAUGGA